GGUUAUCAUGGGGACGGGCCGGGCCCGGACCCCAUGAUAAAUAUUUUUAAGAGGUGGGACACGAGAUUCGAACUCGAGUCUCCAGAGUGGAAAGCCAAAGCGUUCCACGCCGCCAAUCCGGCGGACUCAAUAGGUGUAUUGAUCAGAUUCACAGGGUGGAAAUGCUUCGAAUUUUCAACAACAGAAUCUGGGAUCGAAUCCCACCAAAAAAUAUUUAAGGAUUUCGAGCUCGAUGUCUAUCCUCUUCUAAAAUUGGUUGUCCUUGGAAAUGUCACAUAUGAACUGAAAGACAUUGUUGUUAGCGAAUGAUGAAUCAGGAUAGAUGGAGAGAGAAUGAUGUUAAGAAAAUUUAAUUAUGGACAUAAUAUUUAAAAAUUGUAAUAUCUAUGAAUGUCUUUUAUUAGAAAAUAACUUUCUUUCUCGUAAGUUUUAUAAUAUACCUGUUAUUUAAUAUUUUCCGAUAAAAAUUUAUACUUAAAUCACAC
rnacentral:lncRNA from 1 species